rnacentral:rRNA from 1 species
AUUGAACGCUGGCGGCAGGCCUAACACAUGCAAGUCGGACGAGUGGCGGACGGGUGAGUAAUGCCUGGGAAACUGCCUGGUGGAGGGGGAUAACUACUGGAAAGGGUAGCUAAUACCGCAUACUAUCCGAUGUGCCCAUGUGGGAUUAGCUGGUUGGUGGGGUAACGGCGCACCAAGGCGACGAUCCGUAGCUGGUCUGAGAGGAUGACCCGCCACACUGGAACUGAGACACGGCCCAGACUCCUACGGGAGGCAGCAGUGGGGAAUAUUGCACAAUGGGCGCAAGCCGGAUGCAGCCAUGCCGCGUGUAUGAAGAAGGCCUUCGGGUUGUAAAGGACUUUUGUCGGGGAGGCGUUACCUGAAGAAGAAGCACCGGCUAACUACGUGCCAGCAGCCGCGGUAAUAC